rnacentral:lncRNA from 10 species
CCAGGAGUCCUCACGUGGCCAUCCACGGCUAACACUGGAGUCAGGGCUGGCAAGACCAUGGCCUCCAAUCUCCAUGCUCAGCUGGGCCCCUCACCCAGUGCAGUGCUGCUGGGAGGAAACUUCCAGAUGGCUGUGAGGCCUGGCUCUGCAGAACUUCCACCACACUAAGAGGCCCUUUGCCCCCACCCCCUAUCUACCAACUUUUUUGUUUUUCACAAAAGCUCUAGCUUAGGCCUUUCUGGGUAUCAGAAUCGGUGGGGGGCUUGCUACACACAGGCUGCUGGGUCUCACACCAGCAUCUCAUAGGUAUGGUAUGGGGUCCGAAAGAAUUUGUGUUUCUUCUUAUUUAUUUUUGAGACAGGGUCUCACUCUAUUGCACAGGCUGAAGUGCAGUGGCGUGAUCGUGGCCCACUGCAGCCCAGACCUCUUGGGCUCAAGCGAUCCUCCCACCUCAGCCUCUGGAGUAGUUGGGACUCCAGACAGGCGUGACCCCACCCAGUUAAUUUUUUCUUAUUUUUAGUAGAGAUGGGGUCUCACCAUGUGGUCCAGGCUAAGAAUUUGCGUUUCUAACAAGUUGCCAGGUGGUGCUGCUGCAGCUGAUCCUGUGAACACGCUUGGCGAAGCACAGCACUAGCAGAAACAGGACAGCUCCUCUGAGGAUGAACCGCUGAGUUUCUGGAAUGUUUUCUGUGGCAGUCAGUGUGCUUGCGUUUUCCUUGGAUGAUCUCAGAUUGUCCCCAUAGCCUGCCAGAAACUGGCGCUUUCAUUAUACCCACUUUGCAGAUGAGAAUGCCGAGGCACCAAGAGAAUCAGACAGCUGUGGGCACAGACUCCCGAGCCUGUCCUCUUUACUACCACGCUGAUCAGCAGUCCUCAAAAUGGGCUCCCCAGACUAGCAGCAUCACUGGAAACCUGUUAGAUCUGCAGAUUCCCAAGCCCAUUCAGACCUACUGAAUUAGCACCUCUGCAGGUGGCUGCGGUGGGCUCAGUAUUUUGUGGUUUCACAGGCCCCCCAGGUAGAUUCUAAUACAGACCAGUGUUUGACAACCACUGCUUCACAGCAUCUAAAUGCCCUCCCCUCCCCGGCCAUCCUCUGCCCUCCCUGCACCUGCCCCGUCC